CAGUGACAUGUAUGUGGCAGUGCAGGAAGUGUGUUGCAAAGGAAAGAGUUGUAGGAUGACACUAUACAUAUCAGAAGAACCUGUGUCAUCAAGUUUCUGUGGACCUACUUGAAAUGAAGACCCUGAAAAAGUAGUGAAGGCAUAUUUGGAUUCAGACAUUGAGUCACAAAGUUCCAGGGAGCAAACUGUAAUGGGAGUAGAUGUCAUACUGAAGGAGGGAGCGCUGCCUGACGAUGGCCCACAGGACAUCGGUGUCCAUAUUGAAGGUGGACUUAUUAUUUGGACUGAUACACUGUUUGAACCUGACCUACCCACCAGAGCUCACGUGCACUUUUGAAUUCUUGCAGAAGAUCUUUCUAAAUGGACAGAGGUUGUCAUCCAAGGCACAGUUUCUCAAAAACAAGCUAUUGGAGUGAGCUUGAAAAAGACAAAAGUCAAACAAAAUGCACUUUUAAGUAGUAGUUUGUUUUUGUUUACUAACAGUGUUUUGUAGUAACUGACUGUAGCAGUUGUUACACACAUUUUUUUUCUGAGAGUGGAUCAGUCACUGAUGCACAGUAUUGUUUAUUUUCAGAUGUGAAGCAACAUAGCUACAUUGAUCAUUUAGAAUCAUCAAAAUAUUACACGUGAUAUCAGUGUUUGUUUUAUAUUAUAAAUUCAUGUACACUCUUGUUUGUUUUCAAAUGUUAAUAUUUUUUUUUGUGUCAGGCCAAGGUUUACCUUACAAAUUCCCAAAAAGGGUAGUGUUAAAAUGGCUUAAUUUUUAGAAGUUUUAAGACCAAUAGGGCAUUAACAUCCUACAAGCUUGGGGAUCAGUUUUAUCAAGAGCCAAUAUUUUGUUGGUUAAAUGUUUCUUAUACACUGUGUUACAAACACUCAAAUGGAUAGGAGACUUAAAUUGAAGAAAGCAGUUUAAACUUUAAUGAGUGCAUGUUAAAGCUGAAUGGUAAAAUAAAAAAUGUAUAUUGUUUGCAUGUUUUCUGUGCUUUUUCUGAAGAUUUCUGAGCUUUGGGUAAUGUCUUGUUUUUUUAGUGCUGUCAUCUAAAACAAAUCUAAUUGAAACAACAAGAUAGAUAUUCAUUAAACUACUAAAACCAUACAUGAACAAGACAAUAACUAGUUGAUGUAACAAGGCAGAAUGUGGUUGAAUCGAAGUGCUUUACUGGCAUUGAGUGAAUAAGAAUAAAUUUGAUUAGACUAAUACAAUACAAACAUUUUGAUUCAGUUAGUUGAAAAGAAGUUACACUGACAUUAAAAUCA